CCAGAGGGUUGGGUGAUCGCGUCGCGGCUUCGGCCACGUCGAGGAAAGUCCGGGCUCCAUGUAACGACGGUGCCGGGUAACGCCCGGCGAAGGUGACUUCAGGGAUAGUGCCACAGAGAGCAGACCGCCCGUCCACGGACGGGUAAGGGUGAAAGGGUGCGGUAAGAGCGCACCGCGCGGCCGGUAACGGUUGCGGCAUGGUAAACCCCACCGGGAGCAAAACCGAAUAGGGGCGGCACAGGGGCGUCGUUUCCGCCCGUCGUCCGGGUUGGUUGCUAGAGGCGGCAUGCAAAUGUCGUCCGAGAUGAAUGAUCGCCCAUUUUCCGUUUCGGCGGAGAGGGACAGAACCCGGCUUACAGACCCUCUGGCAAU
rnacentral:RNase_P_RNA from 1 species